rnacentral:lncRNA from 12 species
UCAGUUUAUCCUCUCGUGUUCUUCAUUAACUUUCUGUGGGUGUUGUUCUUCUCAAAGGCCAAGGUUCAUGGUUCUGUUUUUUAAUUGCAAUUCCCUCUUUCCUACUUCUUCCAGGAGCAUCGGCUUUAUCAUUGCUUGUGAGAUUUACAGCGCUUCCUUCAUCGUCAGCUUGCUAAUAGGCAGUUGUUGAACUCCCUGGAGUCUAAACUAGGAAAUAUGAGCAGUAUGUAAUUGCUACAGCUGGAAUCGCAUUCCACUUCAGAAGCUUCUUAACAGCAUUCUCAGAUGUGUGAAUAUCCAUUAGUGACCCAAGGGGAUUACUCCCUGGCACCAAGUUUACCUUUACGAGAGGCCUGGAUGAUGAGACUUUCCCCUCCCGGAAGCAGAAGGUCUCAAUCUGAAAAAUAUGAGGUAAUAAUACCUACCACAAAGAAGACUAAAAUUUUUCCAAAUAAAGAAAUCAGCAGAAGACUUGAGCCAAUUGCAGCCCAAGCACUUAAAACCUACAUAAGAACAUUUUAAUAGGUAAGAAUUUAAAUAUUUGAAAGCCACUCCGAUAAAGGAAUUCUUAGUGAUUUUUAGUUGUCAUAAUUACAUCGUGGUUAUGUUUUUGUUUAAAGAGUAUUUGUCUCUUUAGAGAUUUACUGAAUUAUGUGUAGAUGAAAUAAUAUAAUAUCUCAGAUUUGCAUGAAAAUAAUCCAGUGAGAAGC